CGGCGGACGGGUGAGUAACGCGUGGGUAACCUACCCUGUACAGGGGGAUAACAGUCAGAAAUGACUGCUAAUACCGCAUAAGACCACAGCACCGCAUGGUGCAGGGGUAAAAACUCCGGUGGUACAGGAUGGACCCGCGUCUGAUUAGCUGGUUGGUGAGGUAACGGCUCACCAAGGCGACGAUCAGUAGCCGGCUUGAGAGAGUGAACGGCCACAUUGGGACUGAGACACGGCCCAA
rnacentral:rRNA from 1 species